rnacentral:rRNA from 1 species
UGAGGAAUAUUGGUCAAUGGGGCGGGGAGGCCUGAACCAGCCAAGUCGCGUGAGGGAAGACGGUCCUACGGAUUGUAAACCUCUUUUGCCGGGGAGCAACGGGGUCCUUGCGAGGGCCCGAUGAGAGUACCCGGAGAAAAAGCAUCGGCUAACUCCGUGCC